rnacentral:lncRNA from 9 species
CCAGAUACUGUUAGGGGCCUCUAAUAAUGUUGUGACCUUAAUGUCUUUUUAAAACAGAAUAGGGAGUUCCUGUUGUGGCUCAGCAAGUUAAGAACCCGACAUAGGGUCCAUGAGGACGCAGGUUCGAUCUCUGGCCUUGCUUAGUGGGUUAAGGAUCUGGCGUUGCCGUGAGCUAUGGUGUAGGUUACAGAUGCAGCUCAGAUCUCGCAUUGCUGUGUCUGUGGCAUAGGGCAGCAGCUGUAGCUCCAAUUUGACCCCUAGCCUGGGAACUUCCAUAUGCCUCAACUUCGGCCCUAAAAAAAAAAAAAGAAUAGAAAAGUAAAUAAUAUGGAGUUCCCUUCAUGGCGCAGCAGAAACGAAUCUGACUAGAAACCAUGAGGUUGCAGGUUCAAUCCCUGGCCUCGCUCAGUGGGUUAAGGAUCCGGCAUUGCCAUGAGCUGUGGUGUAGGUCAGACAAGGCUCAGAUCUGGUGUUGCAAACCAAAAAAAAAAAAAAAAAAAGUAAAUAAUAGUAAACAUAUAGUAAUGAAUGCAGCCUAAAUUAUAUUCAUAUUGAUACCAAUGUAGUCACAGAGUAUGAUUUUUAGUACUUUUUUUUUUUUUUUUGGCUUUUUUUAGGGCCACACCCAUGGCUAUGGAAGUUCCCAGGCUAGGAGUUGAAUCAGAGCUGUAGCCUCUGGCCUACACAUAUGAGCCAUGUCUGAUCUAUACCACAGCUCACUGAAACACCAGAUCCUUAACCUACUACUCGAGGCCAGGGAUCAAACCUGUGUCCUCAUGGAUACUAGUCAGUGGUGAAGAACCCGACUAUUACCCAUGAGGACAUGAGUUCGAUUCCUGGCCUCGCUCACUGGGUUAAGGACACAGCAUUGCCGUGAGCUGUGGUGUAGGUUGCAGAUGUGGCUCUGCCUGUUGCUAUGGCUGUGAUGUAGGUUGUCAGAUGCAGCUCUGAUCGGACUCCUGGCCUAGAAACAUCUCUAGGUUGAGGGUGUGGCCCUAAAAAUAUUAAAAAAAAAAGAAAAAGAAAAAGUGACGGCAGAGCCCAAGUCCUUUCUAAAAGCAGAGCCCCGUGUGGCUUUGCAGGACACACACCCACGGAGGCACCUCUGCUGGCAUUUGGGUGUCGUCUGGAUUUACUUCAGUGAAUCCUUUUGGAGUUUCACCAGAUUCAUUGAAUAUUGACCAGAGGCUUAGAUGUCACGUGAGAUUAAACCCAAAUGGGCUUAAUUCAGCACCCAACUGGCCAACUAUAAUUACACCCCAUAGUGUUUACAGCUCUUCUAAACACGUCUGCAGUUAUCACACUCUGGCUUUGUCACCUGGUAGCACAGGUCACGUCUGAGGUGCCUCUCACCAUAACCUCGAUCGUCUUCAUACUCCUUGGACAAAGGCUCGCCGAGAUACUGUAACCCUUUUCUUUGGUUAGUGCUGGUUGGAUGGAAGGCCAUCCCUCGUCCCCGGUCCUUGAAGUAAAUUGCAUCCCUGUUCCAUGCCACGACGUCCUGCUGUUCAGCUCCACGUUGCAUGAAGCAUUGUGGGAGCAGCAUCAGGAGUCUCAGGGGAACAUGAGGUUCUGUCCUUCCCAGUUCCUUUUCUACAUGAACACAAUUCCCAGCAAAGGAGACUACAGUCUCUGUUUGCUUUGUAAUGCAUCACAGUCUUGUCAAAGAAAGGAGCGUUUCUCUCCUUUAGCUGUUUCCCUCUGAGGACGCUCAAGGACAGAACUGCUGCUACUAUUUCAUCGUGGAGUCAGGACCCUGGGAGGGGAAGAACAGAACGGGGGACACAGGUGUGGAGCCCUUGGCGGGACUGGGAUGGAGGAGGGUAGUGAGAAGAGGGGAUCCAGGGAGACUACGAGGUUCCCAAAGCCCAUUCUAUUGCACCAAAGGAUGUCUUGCAGGGAAAAAUAAAUAACAUGUUGCUCUUCCUCUGAGUCUACAUGUUACACAUCUAAGUACGACUUCCUGUCUUGUUCUAUAGCCUUUAUGGAAAUCCCCCCCAGACUUGAUGGGCAGAACUAAGAAGGUGAAGCAGAGACCCUUGGUAGAAGCCAACAUAAAUGUUACGCUUCAAUCAGAACCUGCCAGCACACCUGUGGAGGGUUGGGAGCCGUGCACCCUCACGGAGGUAGGUGGUUAAAAAGCUAGUGGGAGUUCAUGUGGCAAGUCCCUAUCCUCCUCAGAGACAGAUCCAAAGCAGUGAUUUCAACAAAAGUCAGGAAAAAGUAAACACAGCCAGUGGGAGAGACUCGAAAAUUCUUGUCAACAGGAAACGUUUCCUUUUUGGUCUCUUGGACCCAGAAGCAGUCAGACGCCGUGAGUGGAGGCCUAAUUUCUCUUUUCUUGGGAUGUAAUAAAAAUAGCCCUUUUUGGGUGUAAAGAAAUUACCCCUCCUCCCUGCAUUAGCACUGCUAUUUAGAGCAGCCGCCCCAGGAAUGAGCUGGGAUUUUGAAGCCAUGUGUGGUGGUUGUUGCCUCCUGCGGGGAGAUUUUCAAUGUGUUGUCCUUCUCCCCAAGUUGGGAAGGAAUGUGUGUCUGGAAGAGAGAAGACAGCUCCAGGGAUUCACAUAAGAAGGAACCUGGGGACCAGCAGAUGUUAUCACUGAGUAACCUUAUCAGGCCUAAGAUUCUUCCUUUGGAGCCUCUCUCUUACCAGUGUUUUGUUUUUUUUUUUUUUUUGGCCACUGGCAGACCUCUACUACACCUGGGAGUCAUUUGCCUCUGAAAGCCAGUUCACCUUAGGAAAGGUGGGUAAUCAAGAGUGAGCAGGAGUUCCGGUUGUGGCACAGCAGAAACAAACCUGACUAGGAACCGUGAGGUUGCGGGUUCGAUCCCUGGCCUCACUCACUAGGUUAAGGAUCCUGAAUUGCCGUGAGCUGUGGUGUAGGUUGAAGAUGCGGCUUGGAUUGGUGUUGCUGUGGCUCUGGUGUAGGCUGGCAGCUGUAGCUCCAAUUAGACCCCUAGCCUGGGAACCUCCAUAUGCUGUAGGUGCGGCCCUGAAAAGACGAAAGACACACACACACACACACACACACACACACACACACACACACAAGAGUGAGAGCAAAGAAGUCUACAGCCCAUAGGUGAGUGAGAGCCCAAGGUUAUGACAGAAGAGGAUGGACAAACUCAGAGAGCCACAGCAGAAAGGGAAUUCCAUCCCACCGAGGGAGAGGCACACUUAACCACCUGAACUCCAACAUCGAGAAACCAAACAGCCCUUGGAAGACCCAGAGGAUGCAAAGGACCACGGUGUGAGCUGAGAGGAAGUAGGUGGAAGAGCAGGAGGUAGGAUAUUACUAAAAGAUCACAGACCCAGGCACUAGUGCAAGGAUUCCCACAUGUGUCAUCACCACAUUAAACAGUAUUAAUGGAUUUCUCAAACACAAGGCCUCCAGAGGUGCUUAAAAUAUCAUCAUUAGUAACCAGAGUUUGACCUUCUGGUCAUGUGACCUCUGGCCAGUCACAUCUUUUUCUAAGAUCUAGCUAAGGAUCCACUGAGCCCUCAGGGGAACAUGAGGUUCUGUCCCUCCCAGUUCCUUUUCUACAUGGACACAGUUCCCAGCAAAGGAGACUACAGUCUCUAUUUGUUUUGUUUUGCUUUGUUCUUGCUUCAUUAUUACCCAUUUUUCCUUGACUUAAUGAUAGUACAGUUCCAAAGGGCCACGGCUGGAGAGAAAGGAGGUGUGAAGGUUUCCAGUGAAGCUGCUGUCUUUAACCCCGACCCGAGGAAGCUGAGCCCCAGGACUUGCCCUGACUGGAAUCCCAUGGCUCAGGGCAGGCAAAGUCAGGUCAGUAUCUCAAUUCUGAAUUCCUUGUCCUGAAACGCUCCCCCAAGAUGAAAACAACAGCUUCUGUGCUUUGGCAUCUCCUUGGAUGCCAGGCACCAGACUUAGGGUUUAUCAAAAGGAGCAUUUCAUUUAUCCUGCAAAACAGUCUUCCAUUCCAAAGAUGAAGGAUGGAAGCUCUCAGGGCUGGCUAACCCCCAGGGCCACGGAGCUGCAGAGGCAUGGGGGCAGAACCCAGUGGGGUCUGUGCUAUUGACUCCACUGUUCCCAGAGGCCCCUCUCCUUCCACUCCCCACCCCCACCCCAGGAAAGCUCCCUGUGGGAGAGGCAGGUACCUGUAUAAGCGCAACAUUCUGUUGCCCCUCAAAUGUUCUAUUUCUUGAUCUGGGUGCUAGAUGCACAGGUAUUUAUUUUGUUAUUGCUCUUUAAACAGUACAAAUGCCUCUCUCUCUCUCUCUCUCUCUCUCUCUCUCUAUCACACACACACACUCACACACACACGUUGUAUACAUCAAAUUUCGUACUCCCAUAACUUAAGAACAAAUGGAAAAGAAGGGAAAUCUCGCAUCAUUUGAAGAACCAUCCUGGGGUGGUCUCGAGGCAAGAUGAAGGGGGCUUGACCUUCACAUAAAAGCAGAAAAAAAGCAUCUAGCAUUUAGCCUAGGAGACAUGCUCCUAGGAUCUUGGCAUCUUGACUCAGGGCCAGGUAACCAGUACCCAAGGGGACAGAGAAAGUGAGCAGGGCCUCAUAUUUACUAGUGUUUCUAGAACUGGGCCAUACAAAAAAUGAUAAGCUUUUGCCUCACUAGUCCUUGGUAAGCACAAGUGGGCUAGCGUCUUCCCUUUCAUGGGCUUCUCAAAACAUCAGAGGAAACUUUCUAUGAUUAUGUUAAUGGCAGGGUCAUUUGAGAGCGUGGAAAUUCGGAAACCACCCAAAACUCCUUUGAUGAAAGCAAUUUACUAAUGUGCAUUUGCCUCCAUAUGAGCAAUGGCCUCUAAAAGCCACUGAAAAACCAGGACCUGGUGAUUGUAGGAAGGACUUGAGCCACAGCUCUGGUCCUCUGUCAGGGGCAGUGGUUCCCAUUCUAGUAAUUCAUUCUCACAGCACAUCCCCAUUCUCCAAAUGAGGAAGUGGAGGUUUAAAGAGGUGAAGUAAUUUGGUGUAUAUCCCACAGCUGUGAUGUGGAAGGACAUUCAUGGCAUCUUAAAUUUUAAAGGCAAGCGUGCAGUAUAAUUUCAGUUUUUUUCAUUACUGAUAUUUAUUUUGUUUCUUUUUAAAAAGUGUUACUGAAGCAUAGCUGAUUUACAAGGUUGUGAUAAUUUCUGCUGUACAAUAAAGUGAUUCAGUUAUACACAUACACACAUCCAUUCUCUUUCAGAUUCUUUCCCCACAUAGAUGGUCACAGAAUACUAGGUAGAGUUUCUUGGGCUAUACAGCAGGUCCCCACUGGCCAAUCAUUCCAUAGACCUCAGUGUGCCUAUGCCAAUCCCAGACCCCUAGUCCAUCCCUCCCUCCCCCUCAUCUGUCCCCUUUGAUAACCAUAAGUUUUUCAAAGUCUGUGAGUCUGUUUCUGUUCUGCAAGUAAAGGUUCAUUGGCAUCCUUUUUUAAGAUUCCACAUAUAAGUGAUAUCAUAUGGUGUUUGUCUUUCAGUCACAGUCUAACUUCACUUAGUGUGAUAAUCUCUAGGUCCAUCCAUGUUGCUGCAAAUGGCUUUACUUUUUUUUUUUUUUAGGGCUGAGUAAUCAUUGUAUAUAUGUAUAUAAUUUCAGUUUUAUACACAUGAUCUAGUAAUGGAGGGAGGUGAUAGAAAUUACUUCACAUGUAGACAACUGACGGACAGCUCUGCAGCCAUUGCAAAUAGUACCAUAAAUUUCUAAUAGUUGACAUGGGAUGAAUUCAUGGCAUAGUAAAUUUUUUAAAAAGAAAAAGAUAAGGCUGUAUUUGCAAUAGGACUCCUUUUUGCAAAUGGGUGUGUGUUUGUGUGUGUAAUUAGUAAUUUCAAAUCAGGGUGAUGUUGCCCCUCAGGGGACAUUGGGCAAUGCCAACAAACAUAUCAGGUUAUCAUACAUGUGGAGGCCACCGAUGCUGCUAAACAUCUAUCUUACAGUGUCCAGCCUCACAACAAAAAAUUAUCCUACUCAAAAUGUCAGUAGUUUAAUAUAUAGAGUUGACCUUCGAACAAUACAAGUUUGAACUUUGAAAGUCCAUUUACACGAGAGUUCAUCCAUACACAGAUUUUUUUCCAAUAAACAUUAGUAUCUAUUUUUUCAUUUUAUAGAUCUUUAAAUUAACUAAAUGUGGGUAAAAGUUUGUGUUCCAUUAAAGAUCACGGUCUGUGGAAUCCAAAGAACUAGGGUUUGGGUGCCGACUCUACCCAAACUGUUUCGGCUUUCUGCUCUUGGGUGAGUCUUUUAUAAAUUCCUUUGUUUUUGAGUUAGAGAGAGCAGUAUGAGGAUUUUCAGCUGCACAGGAGGUCAGUGUCGCCAACCCUGUUGUGCAAGGGUCAACUGUGUACACACACAUAGAGAGAGAAAAAGCGUCUAGAAGGAAUAUUUCAGGAUGUGAACAGUUGUUAUCUUUGGGUAUAGGGUGAAUUUUUUCCAUAUCUAUUUUCUAAACUUUUUUUUUUUUUUUAAACAACACGAUUAAGUGUGGGGGAGGGGUAGAGAAAAUGUUAUAGUUACAAUCGCCUUAGAAAUAGUUCAGUUGAGGGAGUUCCCUGUUAUGGCUCAGCAGAAAGGAGCCCAACUAGUAUCCAUGAGGAUGUGGGUUCCAUCCCUGGCCCCACUCAGUGGAUGAAACAAUCCUGAGUUGCUAUGAGCUGUGGUGGAGGCCAGCAGCUGCCGCUCAGAUUCCAUCCCUAGCCUGGGAACUUCCAUAUGCCUCGUCUGUGGCUCUUAAAAAAAAAAAAGAAAAGAAAAGAAAAAA